UGUCCCUUCAGGACAUCCGAUAAAAACUAUACAGAGAUGAUGAUCAGCAUGGCCCCUGCAUAAGGAUGAUAUGCACAAAGCUGCACAUACAAUAUUC
rnacentral:snRNA from 1 species